AAUGAACGUUGGCGGCGUGGAUUAGGCAUGCAAGUCGUACGGACCAGGGUAGCAAUACACUGGUUAGUGGCGAAAGGGAGAGUAACGCGUGGAUAUCUGCCCUCGGGUCCGGGAUAGCUGCGGGAAACUGCGGGUAAUACCGGAUAACGUCUGUGGACCAAAGGUGUAAUUCCGUCCGAGGAUGAGUCCGCGUCCUAUUAGCUUGUUGGUGGGGUAAUGGCCUACCAAGGCAAUGAUGGGUACUGGGUGUGAGAGCAUGACCCCAGCUCACUGGGGACUGAGACACUGCCCAGACACCUACGGGUGGCUGCAGUCGAGGAUCUUCGGCAAUGGGCNCAAGCCUGACCGAGCGACGCCGCGUGCGGGAUGGAA
rnacentral:rRNA from 1 species